rnacentral:rRNA from 1 species
GAGUUUGAUCUUGGCUCAGAUUGAACGCUGGCGGCAUGCCUUACACAUGCAAGUCGAACGGCAGCACGGGAGCUUGCUCCUGGUGGCGAGUGGUGAACGGGUGAGUAAUGCAUCGGAACGUAUCCUGGAGUGGGGGAUAACGUAGCGAAAGUUACGCUAAUACCGCAUAUUCUGUGAGCAGGAAAGCGGGGGACCUUCGGGCCUCGCGCUCUUGGAGCGGCCGAUGUCGGAUUAGCUAGUUGGUGAGGUAAAGGCUCACCAAGGCGACGAUCCGUAGCAGGUCUGAGAGGAUGAUCUGCCACACUGGAACUGAGACACGGUCCAGACUCCUACGGGAGGCAGCAGUGGGAAUUUUGGACAAUGGGGGCAACCCUGAUCCAGCCAUGCCGCGUGAGUGAAGAAGGCC